GUUCCCCUUGAACGAGGAAUUCCUAGUAAGCGCACGUCAUCAGCGUGUGCUGAUUACGUCCCUGCAAAAUGUACACACCGCCCGUCGCUAUUACCGAUUGAGUGCAUAGGUGAACCUUCUUGAUAGCGCUUGCGUUAAAUAUUAAGUAAACCUUUGCACUUANAGGAAAUAAAAGUCGUAACAAGGUUUCCGUAGGUGAACCUGCGGAAGGAUC
rnacentral:rRNA from 1 species